GAUGAACGCUGGCGGCGUGCCUAAUACAUGCAAGUCGAGCGAACAGACGAGGAGCUUGCUCCUCUGACGUUAGCGGCGGACGGGUGAGUAACACGUGGAUAACCUACCUAUAAGACUGGGAUAACUUCGGGAAACCGGAGCUAAUACCGGAUAACAUGUUGAACCGCAUGGUUCAACAGUGAAAGACGGUCUUGCUGUCACUUAUAGAUGGAUCCGCGCCGCAUUAGCUAGUUGGUAAGGUAACGGCUUACCAAGGCAACGAUGCGUAGUCGACCUGAGAGGGUGAUCGGCCACACUGGAACUGAGACACGGUCCAGACUCCUACGGGAGGCAGCAGUAGGGAAUCUUCCGCAAAGGGCGAAAUCCUGACGGAGCAACGCCGCGUGAGUGAAGAAGGUCUUCGGAUCGUAAAACUCUGUUAUUAGGGAAGAACAAAUGUGUAAGUAACUAUGCACGUCUUGACGGUACCUAACCAGAAAGCCACGGCUAACUACGUG
rnacentral:rRNA from 1 species